GAUGAACGCUAGCGGCAGGCCUAAUACAUGCAAGUCGAACGGGAUUGCGGUAGUAGCUUGCUACUACUGCAUGAGAGUGGCGCACGGGUGCGUAACGCGUGAGCAACCUACCCAUAUCAGGGGGAUAGCCCGGCGAAAGUCGGAUUAACACCGCAUAACAUCAACAGUUCGCAUGUUCAGUGGAUUAAAUAUUUAUAGGAUAUGGAUGGGCUCGCGUGACAUUAGCUAGUUGGUAGGGUAACGGCUUACCAAGGCAACGAUGUCUAGGGGCUCUGAGAGGAGAAUCCCCCACACUGGUACUGAGACACGGACCAGACUCCUACGGGAGGCAGCAGUAAGGAAUAUUGGUCAAUGGGCGCAAGCCUGAACCAGCCAUGCCGCGUGCAGGAGGACUGCCCUAUGGGUUGUAAACUGCUUUUAUCAUGGAAUAAACCCCUUUCCGAGUAGAGGGUUGAAUGUACCUGAAGAAUAAGGAUCGGCUAACUCCGUG
rnacentral:rRNA from 1 species